rnacentral:rRNA from 1 species
GACGAACGCUGGCGGCGUGCCUAAUACAUGCAAGUCGAGCGAAGUUUUUCUGGUGCUUGCACUAGAAAAACUUAGCGGCGAACGGGUGAGUAACACGUAAAGAACCUGCCUCAUAGACUGGGACAACUAUUGGAAACGAUAGCUAAUACCGGAUAACAGUAUUUCUCGCAUGGGAGAUAUUUAAAAGUUGGUUAUGCUAACACUAUGAGAUGGCUUUGCGGUGCAUUAGCUAGUUGGUGGGGUAAAGGCCCACCAAGGCGACGAUGCAUAGCCGACCUGAGAGGGUGAUCGGCCACACUGGGACUGAGACACGGCCCAGACUCCUACGGGAGGCAGCAGUGGGGAAUCUUCCGCAAUGGGCGAAAGCCUGACGGAGCAACGCCGCGUGAGUGAAGAAGGAUUUCGGUUCGUAAAGCUCUGUUGUUAGGGAAGAAUGGAUAUGUAGUAACUAUACAUGUAAGAGACGGUACCUAACCAGAAAGCCACGGCUAACUACGUG